GACGAACGCUGGCGGCGUGCUUAACACAUGCAAGUCGAACGGCAAGGCCCUUCGGGGUACACGAGUGGCGAACGGGUGAGUAACACGUGGGUGAUCUGCCCUGCACUUCGGGAUAAGCCUGGGAAACUGGGUCUAAUACCGGAUAGGACUCCUGGCUUCAUGGGUGGGGGUGGAAAGCUUUUGCGGUGUGGGAUGGGCCCGCGGCCUAUCAGCUUGUUGGUGGGGUAAUGGCCUACCAAGGCGACGACGGGUAGCCGGCCUGAGAGGGUGACCGGUCACACUGGGACUGAGAUACGGCCCAGACUCCUACGGGAGGCAGCAGUGGGGAAUAUUGCACAAUGGGCGCAAGCCUGAUGCAGCGACGCCGCGUGAGGGAUGACGGCCUUCGGGUUGUAAACCUCUUUCAGCUAUGACGAAGCGCAAGUGACGGUAGUAGCAGAAGAAGGACCGGCCAACUACGUGCCAGCCGCCGCGGUAA
rnacentral:rRNA from 1 species